rnacentral:rRNA from 1 species
UGGGGAAUUUUGGACAAUGGGCGAAAGCCUGAUCCAGCAAUGCCGCGUGCAGGAAGAAGGCCUUCGGGUUGUAAACUGCUUUUGUACGGAACGAAAAGGCUCUUUCUAAUAAAGAGGGCCCAUGACGGUACCGUAAGAAUAAGCACCGGCUAACUACGUGCCAGCAGCCGCGGUAAUACGUAGGGUGCGAGCGUUAAUCGGAAUUACUGGGCGUAAAGCGUGCGCAGGCGGUUCUAUAAGACAGAUGUGAAAUCCCCGGGCUCAACCUGGGAAUGGCAUUUGUGACUGUAGAGCUAGAGUACGGUAGAGGGGGAUGGAAUUCCGCGUGUAGCAGUGAAAUGCGUAGAUAUGCGGAGGAACACCGAUGGCGAAGGCAAUCCCCUGGGUUAACACUGACGCUCAUGCACGAAAGCGUGGGGAGCAAACAGGAUUAGAUACCCACGUAGUCCCUGAGCGGGCUGGCAAGGCGCAU